AUAUAUGUUGGAUGAAUGCCUUGUAUCUUAAAGAAACUAAUGACCUUCCUUCAAGAAAGAAAAAUGAGAAAUUUUAACUUGAAGGAUAUCUUCAUGUAAGAUACACUAAACAUUCACAUGCAAACAAGAGAGAGGAUCUUCUUCAGCCAAAAGUUCACUCAUAAAAAAUCUAGUUUGGCUUGAAGAACAUAUAAUGAAUAGGUAAUUUUAGAUACCUUUCUCACAAAUUAAUUGAGCAAAGUCAAUAACUUAAAUUCUAUUAUGGCAUGAUUAAAUUCUUUAAUUAUUAAUUUUUGAUAUCAUGUCUAUAUAUGUAUUGACUGACUUAUACUUUUAGAAAUUAUUUCAUGGUUUGCCCAAACUAAAAUAUAUCUUUGCCUAUGUCAUAACCAUGAAAUACACAAGUAUAUGCUUAAAAUUUUGAUGUAAAAUAACUUGUGAGAAGUUAUGAAUCCUUGAGCACAAUGAAAAUGUUGUUUGCAUAAUAUACAUCUAUAUGAUACAUAAGAUUAUCUCUUUAUUCUACUCUUUCAUGUAAAUUACUUGAGAAUGACAAAAAGGGAGAGAGAUAAGGAAAAGAAAAUGGACAUUGUUCAAGAGAUGAAAAAUCUGAGUAAAGGCAAAUACUCCNN
rnacentral:lncRNA from 1 species